AUGUUCAAAAUUAUCCAAACCAGGUUUCAGCAGUACAUGAAUCGUGAAAUUCCAGAUGUUCAAGCUGGUUUUAGAAAAGGCAGAGGAACCAGAGAUCAAAUUGCCAACAUCUGCUGGAUCAUGGAAAAAGCAAGAGAGUUCCAGAAAAACAACUAUUUCUGCUUUAUUGACUAUGCCAAAGCCUUUGACUGUGUGGAUCACAAUAAACUGUGGAAAAUUCUGAAAGAGAUGGGAAUACCAGACCACCUGACUUGCCUCUUGAGAAACCUAUAUGCAGGUCAGGAAGCAACAGUUAGAACUGGACAUGGAACAAUAGACUGGUUCCAAAUAGGAAAAGGAGUAUGUCAAGGCUAUAUAUUGUCACCCUGCUUAUUCAACUUAUAUGCAGAGUACAUCAUGAGAAACACUGGGCUGGAAGAAGCACAAGCUGGAAUCAAGAUUGCUGGGAGAAAUAUCAAUAACCUCAGAUAUGCAGACGACACCACCCUUAUGGCAGAAAGUGAAGAGGAACUAAAGAGCCUCUUGAUGAAAGUGAAAGAGGAGAGUGAAAAAGUUGGUGUAAAGCUCAACAUUCAGAAAACUAAGAUCAUGGCAUCUGGUCCCAUCACUUCAUGGCAAAUAGAUGGGGAAACAGUGGAAACAGUGUCAUACUUUAUUUUUUGGUGCUCCAAAAUCACUGCAGAUGGUGAUUGCAGCCAUGAAAUUAAAAGACGCUUACUCCUUGGAAGAAACGUUAUGACCAACCUAGAUAGCAUAUUCAAAAGCAGAAACAUUACUUUACCAACAAAGGUCCAUCUAGUCAAGGCUAUGGUUUUUCUAGUAGUCAUGUGUGGAUGUGACAAUUGGACUAUGAAGAAAGCUGAAUGUGAACGUGAAGUCGCUCAGUCGUGUCCAACUCUUUGCGACCCCAUGGACUGUAGCCUACCAGGCUCCUCUGUUCAUGGGAUUUUCCAGGCAAUAGUACUGGAGUGGAUUGCCAUUUCCUUCUCCAAGGGAUCUUCCCAACCCAAGGAUCGAGCUGAGAGCCAAAGAAUUGAUGUUUUUGAACUGUGGUGUUGGAGAAGACUCUUGAAAGUCCCUUGGACUGCAACGAGAUCUAACCAGUUCAUCCAAAAAGCAAUCAGUCCUGAAUAUCCAUUGGAAGGACUGAUGCUGAAGCUGAAACUCCAAUACUUUGGUGACCUGUUGUGA
rnacentral:lncRNA from 1 species